rnacentral:lncRNA from 1 species
ACAAUACAGCUUCGGUAGCAUCAGUGGAGGAAAGGCUGGACCCUGUAUUUGUGUUGUGUACCCUCACUCUAGGAGGUGUCUUCACACUAAGAGAUGGCCACUCAGCUUCUGGCAUUAUCACUCUGCAUCUACUUUGCCAAGCUUCUUCUUUUGAAACGUCUUGUGUAGGCAGUAGUUAUGAAUAUGCCACCCAGAAGAAUACCAGAUGAAUAAACUUACAAAUAUUUUGAAUAAAGCUCAAUCUAACAAUAGAUAUUUGAAUGAAAAUACUGGAAUCUCUUGUAAUAGCUCAGAAGGUAGCUUAAGUUUUAGCACAGGUGGUAGGAUCACAACACCUUGACCAGGACAGUCCACCUCUGAGCCUCGUCUACUAUGUGGUUUCUGAGUUCUGAAGCUCAGAAUGUUACAUAUAUGGGAAGUAGAAUAUAAUAAUCUAUGUAAUUUCUCUGGAUUCCAUUCCCAGUUAUCACAUGCCCCAAGAUUCCCAAUAAAUCAGAAAACCUCACAUUUGCAUUUUAGUAUUUCCAAAGGUUUUUUAUUUUUAUUUAGAGACUGGGUUUCACUGUUGCCUAGGCCAGAGUGCAGGGGCUAUUCACAGGUGCGAUCAUAGCACCCCACAGCCUUGAAUACCUGGGCUCAAGCAAUCCUCUUGCCUCAGCCUCCCAAGCAGCUGGGACUACAGGCACCCAGCUUCCAAGGCUGUUUUUAUUUUUAUUUUUUAAAGUUAUGUAUAGAUAGGAAAUCAAACACUUAGGAGUGAGCCCUCUCAACUCUUACUCCUCUCACAUUUCCCUCUCAGUCUAUACAUAAUCAGAAACCUGGGAGACCCUUGAUGUUGUCAAGUAAACAUUUCAGGUGUGAUAAAAAAGGAUAUAGGCGCCUAAAUUU